UAUAAGUGGUGGCGACCGGCGCACGGGUGAGUAACACGUAUCCAACCUGCCGAUAACUCGGGGAUAGCCUUUCGAAAGAAAGAUUAAUACCCGAUGGUAUAAUAAAAGCCGCAUGGUUUAAUUAUUUAAAGAAUUUCGGUUAUCGAUGGGGAUGCGUUCCAUUAGGCAGUUGGUGAGGUAACGGCUCACCAAACCUUCGAUGGAUAGGGGUUCUGAGAGGAAGGUCCCCCACAUUGGAACUGAGACACGGUCCAA
rnacentral:rRNA from 1 species